CUACGGGUGGCAGCAGUGAGGAAUAUUGCACAAUGGGGGAACCCUGAUGCAGCAACGCCGCGUGGAGAAUGACGCAUUUCGGUGUGUAAACUCCUUUUAUAUGUCAAGAAAAUGACGGUAGCAUAUGAAUAAGCACCGGCUAACUCCGUGCCAGCAGCCGCGGUAAUACGGAGGGUGCAAGCGUUACUCGGAAUCACUGGGCGUAAAGGACGCGUAGGCGGGUUGGAAAGUCAGGUGUGAAAUCCUACAGCUUAACUGUAGAACUGCACUUGAAACUUCUAAUCUAGAGUAUGGGAGGGGGAGAUGGAAUUAGUGGUGUAGGGGUAAAAUCCGUAGAUAUCACUAGGAAUACCUAAAGCGAAGGCGAUCUCCUGGAACAUUACUGACGCUAAGGCGUGAAAGCGUGGGGAGCAAACAGGAUUAGAUACCCCCGUAGUC
rnacentral:rRNA from 1 species